rnacentral:lncRNA from 1 species
GUAGAGGUGGACAGUGUUGGAUGAUAUGAUGGUCAAGGCUACAGAUGAGUAAUAUAAUGGUCCUGCUACAUGUCACCGGCUGGCUCAUAGCCUGUGGCAAAAAUGAGGGGACAUCAACAACAGGAGGAACCGCCCCUGCACUGCAGAGGAGGAGCCGUGACAUACACGACAGCCAGUGAGCGUUGAGGGAAUGCUUCCUUUGAAAUCAAUGAAAGUUGCUAUACUGCUCGCGUUGUGUCGUGUCCAAAGCAGCAUCCAAGCUCAAGAAUCGCCGAGGUUCAAUUCUCGAUGUGAAUGGAAAAAAUGAGAUGUGUAGCAGGUAGAACAUCACAUUGAUGGUGACUUGUGGUGUAGCUGAAAUGUUAGGUAAAGCAUCUGUCCAACUUCGCAUGCGCACACACACACACACACACACAAUGCUAGGCGAUGUUUCAUUGUGUUUAAAUCCCCCUCCUUAACCACCAUUCAACAAGUGUGUCAGACUCAUAUUAGCCUCCAUUAUCCCUACUUUAAUUCAAGGCCUAAAUACAGGUGUUAUAUUAGCCUUCAUUAUCCCUACUUUAAUUCAAGGCCUAAAUACAGGUGUUCCAACUCAUCUGAAAGCCCUCUAAAUCACCUGUCAAGUCAGGCAUUCAACAGGCACCUUAUUAGAUCGAGAGCACGUUGAACACUUCUCUUUUAUCUCUGGAGUCCAGGGUUUGUUAUUGUUCUGACUCGUGUGUGUGUGUGAGCAGCCAGUUAAGGUGGGAUGGGGGUGAGGGGGUUCCUCCAAAGGUUUAGAUUACUUUCUGCAGGAAGGGAGACAGGGGGCGUACAUACAUUUUCUCUUAGCUCACCUCCUCCCUGAACUAGACCUUGAUUUUAUUCAAAAUGGCAGCCAAAAGAAUAGAGAAUGUGUAAGCGCUAAGCAAGGG